rnacentral:rRNA from 1 species
CAGGCCUAACACAUGCAAGUCGAACGGAGCCGCAAGGCUUAGUGGCAAACGGGUGCGUAACGCGUAAGCAACCUGCCCGCAACUGGGGGAUAGCCCGGCGAAAGCUGGGGUAAACCCGCACGGUCCAGUAGCCUCACCUGGGGUUACUGGUAAACAUUUAUGGGUUGCGGAGGGGCUUGCGUCUGAUUAGCUAGUUGGUUGGGGUAACGGCUCACCAAGGCGAUGAUCAGUAGGGGUUCUGAGAGGAUUGGCCCCCACAUGGGUACUGAGAUACGGACCCAACUCCUACGGGAGGCAGCAGUAGGGAAUAUUGGGCAAUGGAGGCAACUCUGACCCAGCCAUGCCGCGUGCAGGAUGAAGGCGCUCAGCGUUGUAAACUGCUUUUACUCAUGAAGAACUAUGGUCCUGCGGGAUUAUUUGACGGUAUUGAGGGAAUAACCAACGUCUAUCAUCGUGCCAGCAGCCCGCGGUCAU